UCUGGUGUCGAUGCGCUUAGGGGACACACCCGUUCCCAUCCCGAACACGAUGGUUAAGACCUAAGCGGCCCAUGGUACUAUGCUGGAGACG
rnacentral:rRNA from 1 species